GUUUAGUAAAGGACAGAAACAGAAGCUAAAGGUGUAUCAAAAGCCACCCUCAAUUUUAGAUUAGAGAAGUUGAAUGAUAAUUAUUUUUGAACGUCAUCUUCAUAGGUCUAUCCCAUUGUAUAUAGUUGAUUGGUUCUAUGAAUUAUGAAAUGACGGAAACAACCAGCCAGACAGCGAAUCCUGAAGAGUUUAAACGCCGAAGGAGACAGGAGAGAAUUUUGAAGAACUCGGGUCAGCGAUUGGCGAAGAUCACGUACAGCUGGUCUGAACCUUGCAACAAUUUGACAGAGUCGGUUAUCAAUCAUGCGUCUGAAACACUGUCCUCCGAAUCAAAGGCAGUCAGAGAUAGUUUGCUUUGUAAUGCACAGGAUCCUGCAUUGCUGGACAAGUUUUUACCUGCUCCUUUAUUUAACAACUCGCGCCAAAAUCUGGGUCUCAAAGAGGAAGACGCCUUCAGUGCCCUUCUGGAAUUAGAUAGGAACGUUAUAAAGGAUGUAUCCACAGGCAGUUCUGACAUGAUUGAGACAAAAUCGAAAGUGCCUUUACUUUUUAUUACCUUGGGUCUGAUAUCAGCUCUUGUGUCUACGUUUUUCGAAGAGUUUUCAUCUCCGAUAGUCUUGUUUUUAACUGCAGAAGCAUCAACUAUAUUCGUGCGCCAAAAGAAAAUGAUUGCCGCAUGCAGCUCCAGUGGCAAGUCUGAAGAUAUACUUUUGCUGUUAUCUGCGAAGUAUCCAUCUCACAAACAAUCAAUCUCCUCAGUUUUCAAUAUUUUGAAACUAUGUGUACAGUUCAUGAAUCAUUUAUUGAACUAUUUGUUUGGGUUUUUUAUUUGCAGAAUUUUGAUGACCAGUUUUUUUCAAAUCGAAAGCUAAUACUAAAUCAUAUGGAUCUGAAGGUACUUUAAGUGAAAAAGAUUUUCUAGUUAAAUUUAGCACGAAUUUAUCAUGAGUUACGGCGCAGUAGACGAUUUAGUCAGUAAUUGUGCUUGCUGUUUACUUUUUUUGCUCACAGAAACAGUUUGAAUUAAAUAUAGUUAAUCUUCAUCUGAUAACCCAAUGCUUUAUUUGCUUAUUUCUUCAAUUUAUGUUGAAUGUGAA